rnacentral:rRNA from 1 species
GUACGGGAGGCAGCAGUGGGGAAUAUUGGACAAUGGGGGCAACCCUGAUCCAGCAAUGCCGCGUGAGUGAUGAAGGCCUUCGGGUUGUAAAGCUCUUUCGGCGGGGAAGAUGAUGACGGUACCCGCAGAAGAAGCCCCGGCUAACUUCGUGCCAGCAGCCGCGGUAAUACGAAGGGGGCUAGCGUUGUUCGGAAUUACUGGGCGUAAAGGGCGCGUAGGCUGUGCUGUAAGUCAGGCGUGAAAUCCCCGGGCUCAACCUGGGAAUUGCGUUUGAUACUGCGGCGCUGGAAUGCAGGAGAGGAUGGCGGAAUUCCCAGUGUAGAGGUGAAAUUCGUAGAUAUUGGGAAGAACACCGGUGGCGAAGGCGGCCAUCUGGCCUGUAAUUGACGCUGAGGCGCGAAAGCGUGGGGAGCAAACAGGAUUAGAUACCCUGGUAGU